rnacentral:rRNA from 1 species
UACAGAGGUGGCAAGCGUUGUUCGGAAUUACUGGGCGUAAAGGGCGCGUAGGCGGCCUUCUAAGUCAGACGUGAAAUCCCCCGGCUUAACCUGGGAACUGCGUCUGAUACUGGAAGGCUUGAGUGCGGGAGAGGGAUGUGGAAUUCCAGGUGUAGCGGUGAAAUGCGUAGAUAUCUGGAGGAACACCGGUGGCGAAGGCGGCUUUCUGGACAAAUACCGACGCUGAGGCACGAAAGCUAGGGGAGCAAACAGG